rnacentral:rRNA from 1 species
GACGUAGGGCGCAAGCGUUGUCCGGAUUUAUUGGGCGUAAAGAGCUCGUAGGCGGCUCGUUGCGUCGGCUGUGAAAACCCGCAGCUCAACUGUGGGCUUGCAGCCGAUACGGGCGGGCUGGAGUUCGGCAGGGGAGACUGGAAUUCCUGGUGUAGCGGUGAAAUGCGCAGAUAUCAGGAGGAACACCGGUGGCGAAGGCGGGUCUCUGGGCCGAUACUGACGCUGAGGAGCGAAAGCGUGGGGAGCGAACAGG